rnacentral:misc_RNA from 1 species
AUCGGUCUUUUAUGGGCGAGGACAGUAGCAUCAACUGUUUGACAGUCAAUGGCUUGACGAGUAAACAGACCUGCGUUAACUGAGUUUGGAAGUGGAAGUCGAAGGGCGUGUCUUUACAGUUGUUGGAGUGUAAGAAAGAACAGAUUAGUAACAACCAUCGAUUGUGUUGGACGCAGACGGCGCUCGCAGAAAAAUGCAUGCUGCCGCUUGAAGAACGUGACUUUGGUGACGAGCGGUCUGAACGAGACUUUGUUCUCUGACGACCCGCACACGAUGACUUAGACGGGUACCUGACAAAACCGAGCCUGAACAACCGUCAUAUACCUGGCCUUUCAGGUGUGGUGUGGGUAGAGCUGGGAAGAAAAAAAAAAAUCAGUUGGUCGACGUCAGCAAAGGCCGUGAGCAGGUAAUGCAACUGUUUGCGUGCUGCAGACCACACGCGUGCUCCGGUAACCGUCGGCGACAGCCACCUUUUGUGAACUGCCAGCGCGUGUGAGCGCGUGUCUUUGUAAGUAAACAACGCGGUGUUCAAUAGGUUGCCACCUAACGAGCGGCGCUUUUAUUUGAAGUGACGUAACACAGACAGUUGUAUAUAUAGGGACAGUCACGGUCCUGGCGAUACACUUCACCGCACCACCACUAGAAGCACCAGAGUCGCCAGACAACUGACUGGAGGUCAGGUGUGUCACAUGCAAGAGCCGCAAACGACUGCAGCAAAGCGUUUUGUCUCGGGAGACUUGUGUACAAUAGCUUUGUGUUCCAAUCUCCGCAGUGGUCUGAUCCUUGAUUAGGUCUUCACACCCAGGAAACAGGUGCCGCUGCCUUCUCCGUGCCUGGUAUUCAUCACUGGAACAGCUCAGCACAAGCGCCGCCACUGUCUGACAGCAGCAUGCAAAAAGGAGACCGCACCAUCAUGAGCAGGGGGCUGUCUCCCCGCAGGGCCCCGCCCCCCGUCAUGCCCGGUCGCUCCUUAUCACGAACCGGAAAUUUCAACAACAGCAGCAGCAGAUUCGUCACAGGGUCACUCGAUCUCCAUGCCUCCCCUUACAAUGCCAACCGUGGAUUCUGGCAAGGAUUCACUGCAUACAGCACUCGGGAGAGCAGACCGAUGUACCGCCAUGCCAACGGGCUCAGCCGCAGGGGCGAUGAUUACGUCCACGAUCAAAGCAUCUUCUUUAGUACGUCGCCUCUGGUGAGCGGGCACUUCAUCAUUCACCCUGACUGGGUGUCCGAGCGCUCCGGACUGCGCCGCUCCAAGUCUCUACUCUCUUUCUAGACCAGGUCUUCGCCGCUCGUGACAAACUAGUCGUUUAUCGCAGUAGUUCUAGACUGACCACACAUCAUCGCAGAAUACAGUCGUCUAUCCCUGUGGCCAAGCUGUGUCCAUGCUAGCUCCUCGCACGAACGGUUUACUAGAGAUUCUGUCUAGAGUGUGAAAUGCAUCACCACACUUAUGUUACUCUAUGCCCCGCUACAAGAUCGAUGAUUAUUGGAGAGAGAGAAAGAGAGAGGAACUAUGAGGAAACCCGAGAUAUGAUUUCACAUAUAAUAAUUUUACAUCAAAGCUUUCAAAAAGAAAUGUAAACUUUUAACAAUUGUUACUGGACGACUGCAAUCAUGAUUGCAAUGAACCAUGCGAUGAAACAGUUUCUGUCCAGCCAUGACUGACCUCAAAAGCGGGGAACAUGUACAAAAUAAAAUGGGGUCAAGUAAUAUUGUUUUGCCAUCGAUGUGCCCUCCUCCUGCUCACAAACAAUGUGCCCUUCUAUUUAUCACCUCCCUGCAGAUAAUUAAUUUUUUGGGUCGUAUCCUAAUGAUGCCCUUCAUAUUCUGUAAGUAGAGAUUGACGCUCCUGUACUGUGUAGUUACUAUAUAUUACUCUCACAUUGUGUGCAACAUUAAGACUGUGCUGUGAUAUUACUAGAUUGUUUUCAUUCUUAACUAUUUUGUUUUAAUUUAUAGUGAGCUUUUUUCCUGUGCAUUUUACAUGCUGUAUACGAGCAUGCCACUUAACAUGUAUAGAUGUAAACUAUACAUUGUUGUCAUUUACCUGCAUCAGUAUUACUAACAGUAUUAUUAUUCUUUGAAGUUUUUACUUUAUUUCCUAGAAGUGGAUCUCUACUGACCGAUUUACAUCAUUAAAUAAACGAUUAAAAGAA